ensembl:lncRNA
CGUAAUAAAGAACCUCUUAUGCAUAUAUCAUUAUAAAUAUCCUAUGCUUCUCUUUCUCUGGAGAACCCAGACUGAUAAGAUUUUGGUACAGAGAAUUGUUCUAGAGGAACAGAAUUUUAAGGAGCUCUGUGAUCACUCUUCUCUGCAGGCCCGGACCUCAUAGACUGAACUAUGAACAGCCACUCAACUGGAAAACCUAAAUGCAAUGGGAGGAAUUGGACACCAGGCAGGGGCCAACUGGUGACACUUGACCACCAAAGACAAGUAUUAGAUAUCUUGUAGGCAGUUAGUGCCUUCUUUAAGGUGCCAGCCCUCCAGGAGCCAACACAGCAAGGAGCCAACAUGCAGGACAGUGAAGACACAUUCACUGAAGGCCAACAUUGUAAAAGGAGAGAAAUUAGCACACCCAUGUAGGAUGAAUAGCAGUGAUUGAUAUUCUAAACAGGUAUCAAUCACCUGGUGGGUGGGGGGGGGCAAGGUCUUAACCCAGCCUCCCCAGGAAAUAUCCCUGACCCACCCUUACUGAAAAUUCUUGUAUGCUUGCUACGUGACUUGCUCCCCUAUUUGACCCCCCA